rnacentral:lncRNA from 1 species
UUUUGAUCUUUUCUGUAGAUUUCGUGUUAGAGAUUCAAUAACUCAAGCUGAAUUCUCUUAUUUGAUCGUUUGAGAUUUUUGUAUUUUUGUAAGAUUUUGAUUAAACGGGAAAUAAGAGAUGUCUAACAACUACAAGAAUUGGAAGAUACUCGUGAGAGUUGUGCUUCGGAGUGAACAUGACCGAGAAGUUGCUUUAGCUGACUCGAGGGAAUCAAGUUUCAGAUCCAUAUCCUCUAGUUUCAUAUUCGGGCCCGAUUCUUCAUUUCAUGGGCAGAAUCCUCAACUUGAAGCUUCUAAUUUCAAUACUGUAAAUUUGCUUGGAGACAAAAUGUUAAUCUGUGUGACAAUUCUUUGUUCUUUGUCAAGCUUCUUGCUUACAGAUGAAUCUGUCAGCUAUAUAACCAAAUAACAAAAUUUUAAGACGGAUUUAUGAAGUCAUUAUGGUUUUAGAAAAUUUUCUAGUUCCAUCAUAAACAUAUGUUUGCUUUAAACUUUUAUGUAAAAUUAUUAUAUUAUGUCUUGUUGGGUUUUUUAAUGCUCAAUAAAUCUCAGACUAUGAUAUUAAUGUGGAAUAGUGUAUUUCAUAGGCCUUGGC